UGUUCUGUGGCUUAGUUGGUUGAAGCGCCGGUCUAGCGAAUACGGAGUCAUGUGUUCGAAUCCCACCAGAACGC
rnacentral:tRNA from 1 species